rnacentral:rRNA from 1 species
UACGGAGGAUCCAAGCGUUAUCCGGAUUCAUUGGGUUUAAAGGGUGCGUAGGCGGAAUGAUAAGUCAGCGGUGAAAUCCCUCGGCUUAACCGAGGAACUGCCGUUGAUACUGUCAAUCUUGAGUACAUUUGAUGUGGGCGGAAUGUGUCAUGUAGCGGUGAAAUGCUUAGAUAUGACACAGAACACCGAUUGCGAAGGCAGCUCACAAAACUGUAACUGACGCUGGAGGCACGAA